AUUGAACGCUGGCGGCAGGCCUAACACAUGCAAGUCGAACGAGUGGUGGACGGGUGAGGAAUGUCUGGGAAACUGCCUGGUGGAGGGGGAUAACUACUGGAAACGGAAGCUAAUACCGCAUACCAUCAGAUGUGUCCAGAUGGGAUUAGCUAGUGGGUGGGGUAACGGCUCACCAAGGCGACGAUCCCUAGCUGGUCUGAGAGGAUGACCAGCCACACUUGAACUGCGACACGGUCCAGACUCCUACGGGAGGCAGCAGUGGGGAAUAUUGCACAAUGGGCGCAAGCCUGAUGCAGCCAUGCCGCGUGUAUGAAGAAGGCCUUCGGGUUGUAAAGUACUUUCAGUGGGGAGGCGUUACCCGCAGAAGAAGCACCGGCUAACUCCGUGCCAGCAGCCGCGGUAAUAC
rnacentral:rRNA from 1 species